rnacentral:rRNA from 1 species
UACGUAGGGGGCUAGCGUUGUCCGGAAUCAUUGGGCGUAAAGAGCUCGUAGGCGGUUUGUCGCGUCGGCCGUGAAAACUUGGGGCUUAACCCCAAGCCUGCGGUCGAUACGGGCAGACUUGAGUUCGGCAGGGGAGACUGGAAUUCCUGGUGUAGCGGUGAAAUGCGCAGAUAUCAGGAGGAACACCGGUGGCGAAGGCGGGUCUCUGGGCCGAUACUGACGCUGAGGAGCGAAAGCGUGGGGAGCGAACAGG